rnacentral:misc_RNA from 1 species
UUUCCGUAGGUGAACCUGCGGAAGGAUCAUUAUCGUACAAAAUGUGAGGGGCAUGCGAGGGCUGUCGCUGACCCAAAGGUCGUACACGCCCGAGUGUGUCCUCUUGCAUAAUAAUCCAUCUCACCCUUUGUGCGUCACCGCGUGGGCACCCUUCGGGAUCAUCUCGGAGGGGGGCUCGCGUUUUCACACAAACCCCCCUUUUAAAAGUGUAGAAUGACCACAUUUAUGCAAUCAAUACAACUUUCAACAACGGAUCUCUUGGCUCUC